rnacentral:SRP_RNA from 1 species
UCGUGCUAAGCGGGGAGCUAGCGGUGCCCUGUAACCCGGAAUCCGCUAUACCGGGGCCGAAUUCCCACCGGCGGAUCGGAUAUUCGGGCUAAAUGUCCGGCCUGAAGCGACGCCCGGCGAAAGCCGGGAGAUACUGACCAGAUCCCGCGCAACGGACGCCCGCCUAACCCCGUCAGGACCGGAAGGUAGCAGCGGUAAGCGGUAACGGCGUGUGCCGCGGGGAAGUCUGGCCCCAGCUAAAGACCGGGUCAUUUAUCCGGAGACACGAAACAACGGUGGGUGCACGG